CUGCUGGCUUCAGCAGUACAUAUACAAAAAAAAAAAAAAAGAAAAAAACGUAACAACACAAUUGAGAAGAUUAGCAUGGUCCCUGAGCAAGGAUGACAUGCAAAUUCUUGACACAUUCCUUAUUUUU
rnacentral:snRNA from 1 species